rnacentral:lncRNA from 1 species
UUAUAUUGUUUAAUUAUUUCUUCUGUUAUAAUAGGGAUAAUCUCAUGUUCACUACAUAUUGAGAUGGUUUUUUCAACUACCUUGACUCUGUUAUUUGGGAUUAUCCAACAACUUGUAGUUUUGUAAAUUGAGUUCUUUAGAAUUUUAGGGAUUGACCAAUUGCUUAAUUGUCUGUCUAAAUAUUCAGUUAGAAAUCCUUCUUGAUUGAUACUAUCUACUCUUGAGGAGGAA